rnacentral:misc_RNA from 1 species
AUGUGCAUGUCGCACGUCACUGACGUCACCGAGGUGUAUCAAUGGCGUCCACUUUGUUCCAGUAUCAUCAUUUUUUAUCUCGUUAUCAACAAUCUAUUUAAUAAAUCAAUUAAUUUGACGGUAAAAUGUUGAAACCUGCAGGCCAACGACUUUAAUCAAUUUAAUCGAUAGAUUUUCAAUGGGUUAUCUCACAAUAUGAGGUGAAAAACUGGAGUCUUCGUGAAACGACGGAGAAGAGAAACAACAGGGAAGGAGAGUUUGUUCACGACACAUUAAACAAAAGAAGCUUUGGAUUGUGCUUAAUUGGCCAAAAUGUCGAAGCGUGCAGCUGCGGAUGGCGGAGACUCAACCUCUCAGCCGCCGAUAAAGAAGGUGCAAUUCGAGCCUAUUCUCAUUGGACCAAUAUCGACGCUUGAAGAGAUGGAUAUGAAGGUUCUACAAUUUCAAAACAAAAAACUCCAACAGAGACUUGAACAACGUAUGAGAAUGGAAACAGAAUUACGGCAGCGUAUUGAACAAUUGGAGAAAAGACAGACUCAAGAUGAUGCUGUUCUAAAUGUUGUUAAUAGAUAUUGGAAUCAACUGAACGAAGACAUUAGAGUCUUGCUUCAGCGAUUUGAUGCUGAAACAGCUGAUGAAUCUGAGAACAAAAACGAAUCUGAAGCAACUACUUCCUUUCUCAUGCAACUGUCCUCUUGGGACAAGGAAGAACUCGAUGACAAACUAGCCAACCGUGUACAAGUCUCCAAAAGAGCGGUAUCCAAAGUUGUACAGGCAUUUGAUCGGCUUUCUCAGAGAAAUGAAAAAAUUACCCUUGCACUUAAAGGAGAGUUUGAGGGAGACGACGGUCCGAAAGUAGACGACGUAGUGAGGAAAGCGAAUGCCGAGAUACAAAUGGAAAAUCGAAACUUACAAGCGAUAAAUAUACAGCUGCACGAGAAGUAUCAUACAAUAUCAUUGAAGAUGUCCGAGCUUCAAGAUACAAUGACCGGGAAGGAUACGUUGGCUGCAGAACUGAGGAACCAAGUUGACGAUUUACAAUACGAAUUGAAUAAAGUACGGGCGAGAAAUGACAAACUGGAACAUCAUUUAGGAGAGGCUAUUGAGAAAUUAAAAGCAUUUCAACAGUUUCACGGUACUGAUGAAAAAGGCUCGAAUAAGCCGAGUACACUUGUAGCAUCGAGCGUAUCGCAAACGAAACUCGAUGACUUGCAAAGGGAACUGGAAGAAUCAAGAGAAUUGGCAAAUAAUCGAUUACACGAAUUGGAUAAGCUGCAUCAGCAGCAUCGUGACGCUCUCAAGGAGGUCGAGAAACUGAAAAUGGAUAUCCGUCAACUUCCAGAAUCUGUAAUUGUCGAGACUACGGAGUACAAGUGUUUACAGUCACAAUUUUCUGUAUUGUACAACGAGUCGAUGCAAUUAAAAACUCAACUGGACGAUGCGCGCCAACAAUUACAAUCAAGCAAAAAUGCUCAUUUACGUCAUAUCGAGAUGAUGGAAAGCGAAGAAUUGAUGGCUCAAAAAAAACUUCGCAGUGAAUGUAUUCAACUAGAGGACGUCCUGGCUCAAUUGCGGAAGGAAUAUGAAAUGCUUAGGAUCGAAUUCGAGCAAAAUUUAGCGGCAAAUGAGCAAACUGGUCCCAUUAAUCGUGAAAUGAGACACCUUAUAACGUCUCUGCAAAAUCACAACCAACAGUUAAAGGGAGAAGUACAUCGUUACAAGCGAAAGUAUAAAGAAGCUUCGGUUGAAAUACCAAAACAAAAGAAAGAAAUCGAAGAAUUGACCGCAAAGCUUGGCCAGCAAAAUUCGCAAGAGAGCAAAGAAGGCAAUAACUCGGACAGCAGUGGAAAAGAAGAGGAUGCUUUGAAUUUACUUCCAGGCUCAAUGCAAAUCAAGGAGGAGACUGGGAUCGCAAUAAAGCGCGAAGCUGGAAUUGACGAGGAGGUUGAAACAAUUGAAGUUGGUGAUACCGCUGAAGGCUGUAAGGGAACUCCAGACUCUCUGACAUUGGCAUCGCCACUUCUUAAAAAAGAAAAGGAUAUUAAGAGAGAGAAGGAUGUAAAAAAGGAACCUAUCAAAUCGGAACACAGAGAUCCGGUUCACAGGACCAAAGAAACAAAAGUUGUUGAAUCCGAAAUAGUGCGUGAUCUUAAAGCUCAAUUAAAAAAAGCCGUAAACGAGAUGAAAGAGAUGAAGUUAUUACUUGACAUGUACAAAGGUGUUGGAAAAGAACAGCGAGACAAGGUUCAACUGAUGGCAGCCGAAAGAAAGACACGCGCCGAAGUCGACGAGCUUCGUCAGCAAAUUAAAAAGAUUCAGAUGUUCGACUUCCAGGAGAGUAAACGCGAAGAGCGAAAAAAAUUAGCGGACGAAGAUGCACAGAUAAAAAUUAAAAAAUUGGAGGAACAAGCUUACACCCUGCAACGGCAGGUCGCUUCACAGAAACAGAAUUGUGUCUGGCUGCAGGAAGAGGAGGCUCUUCUAAACGAAAUGGAGGUCACUGGUCAGGCCUUUGAGGAUAUGCAAGAACAAAAUUCUAGACUUAUACAGCAAUUGCGGGAAAAGGACGAUGCUAAUUUCAAGCUCAUGACUGAGCGAAUAAAAAGCAACCAAUUACACAAACUAGCCAGAGAAGAAAAGGACGUUCUCAAGGAGCAGGUUACAACGCUUACUACCCAAGUCGAGGCGGCCAAUGUUGUUGUUCGUAAACUCGAGGAAAAAGAACGUCUGCUUCAAAACUCAUUAGCCACAGUGGAAAAAGAGCUUGCUCUUCGACAACAAGCAAUGGAGAUGCACAAACGAAAAGCCAUCGAAAGCGCACAAUCAGCCGCUGAUCUUAAACUUCAUUUAGAAAAGUAUCAUUCGCAAAUGAAGGAAGCUCAACAAGUUGUGGCAGAAAAAACAAGCUCGCUUGAAGCUGAAGCAUACAAAACAAAAAGACUUCAGGAAGAAAUUGCACAGUUGCGUCGCAAAGUCGAGAGAAUGAAAAAAAUCGAGCUUGCAGAAACUCUAGACGAAGUAAUGGCUGAGGAGUUACGAGAAUAUAAAGAAACGUUAACAUGCGCAUCUUGUAAAGUUAAACGAAAAGAUGCUGUUCUAACAAAGUGUUUUCACGUCUUCUGCUGGGAUUGCUUGCGUACGCGUUAUGAGACGCGUCAAAGAAAAUGUCCAAAGUGCAAUUGUGCUUUUGGUGCGAACGACUAUCACCGUCUCUACCUCUCAACAUGAAAGAAUAAAACCAUCACCAAUAAUUAUAAUGUUACGUGGCCCCUGAUAAUCAUGUCAUUUCGUCCUCGUAGACAUAAUCCCAAGCCGGCGGCGCGCAUGACUUCAACGUAAACCUUAAAUAUAAAUAGCAAAAAAUAAAUGUCUAUCAAGAGGAGGCAGAAGGAAUAAAUAAUUCCAAAGUCAA